AUGCGCCUCGGCUAUCUCAUCCUGGCUGCCUUCCUCAGGCACCCACUGGGCACCAUGGGGCAGGUCACUGUCAGCCAGCAAGAAGGACAAGUCACAGUGAAGCAGAGAGACACCUUCCAGAUCAAAUGCACUUACCAGACCUCCUACAGUCCUUACUUGUUCUGGUACCAGCAGAAGAAAGGCCAAGCUCCCCAGCUGCUCUCGCAUCAGGUAGCAGCUGGUCCCAAGCCCAGCGGCCGUCUGACCACGCUGCUGAACACCACGGGGAAAUACAGCCUGCUGCAGCUGGAGGAAGUGGAGGUCUCUGACAGUGCCUUGUACCUCUGUGCUGUGAGUGACACCCUGGGCAGACUCAUAUUUGGAAAUGGGACCACUCUCAUGGUUGAACCAAACAAUCAAAAAAAUUCUACCCCAGAAGUCAUUGUGAUGAAAUCAAAGAAUCUGGGAGAAGGUGGCACCUCUGGGAAAGCAGCUUGUUUGGCAAGGAAUUCCAACACAAAGAGCAUCAGCUUGGAGAUGUCACCUAAUGAAGUGGUGUAUGAACAGAAUCCUCCCAUUCUGACCUCAGAGGGCUUGUACAAUGCUCUCAAAGUGGUCAGUGUGACAGAAGACACAGAGAUGACCUGCACAGCUAAAUUUGAUGGCAUCCUUUUCAUAGAGAGCACAACAGAAAAGGAGGAUGAAAACCCAGGGGAGGUUGAAAAGCCAGUGACAGGGAAGGUUUGCAACACCACAGACACCUCUACAGAAGCAGAUACCAAGGUGGAGAAAGUGAACAUGCUGUCCGUGGCUGUGUUGGGGCUGAGAGUCCUGCUGGUAAAAACCAUUGCCUUCAAUACGCUGAUGAGCAUCAAGCUGUUCCUGUUCUGA